UUGCAAUUCUGGCAUUGCAACAGCUCAUCUCGAGAGAAGUUGAUCCCCUCCAUAGUGAAGUGCUGUCUGUUACUUAUGUCAAAGGCGGAACUGCCCUGAAUGUAAUUCCACCAUAUGUUGAAUUUGGGGGUACUUUGAGGAGUCUAACAACUGAGGGCUUGCAUCAACUCCAGCGGAGAAUGAAACAGGUUAUUGAAGGCCAGGCAGCUGUGCACAGAUGUAAUGCAUACAUUAACAUGGAAAAUGAAGGCUACCCAGCAUAUCCUGCUGUUGUAAAUGAUGAAAGCUUGAAUUUGCAUGUUCAGAGGAUUGGUAGUCUUCUUCUUGGUCCUAGGAAUGUGAAAAUGGGUCAGAAGGUGAUGGCUGGCGAGGACUUUGCGUUCUAUCAAGAAAAGAUUCCUGGAAUCAUGCUCAGCAUUGGA
rnacentral:misc_RNA from 1 species